rnacentral:piRNA from 1 species
UACAUCUAUGAGGUAUGUUUUGUUGUC